AUGGCCCAUGGGGUGGUGACCAUGGGAUGGGUGCCCCAGAUCAGCAUCCUGGCGCACGCCGCCGUGGGCGCGUUCCUGACGCACUGCGGCCGGAACUCGCUCAUCGAAGGGCUUCUGUUCGGGCACCCACUCGUCAUGCUGCCCAUCUUCGGGGACCAGGGCCCGAAUGCCCGCCAAAUGGAGUCGAAGAAGGUAGGGUUGCAGGUGGCGAGGGACGACGACGACGGGUCGUUCGACCGCCAUGGCGUUGCGGCUGCCGUCCGGACCGUCAUGCUGGACGGAGAAGCCAGGAGGGGAUUUGUGGCGGGUGCCCUCAAGAUGCAGGCGAUCGUGGCCGACAAGGAACGGCAUGAGAGAUACAUCGACGAAUUUGUUCAACAACUCAGAUCGUAUCUUGCACCGCCGCAUGCAACUGAAGAUCUCACUACUGCCACCCCCAGCUCCAGCUGA
rnacentral:rRNA from 1 species